GAAUUGUUAGAGAAACGCGCUAUCCUGGUCAAGGAUUAAAUUUUACUUUUUCUCAUUCUUUAAAAAAAAACGUCAACAAAUACCAAAUAGUAGCGCAAGUAAGGUCGUUUUAGCUGAUUCUUAGGGAA